UCCCAGCCGCGAGAAUCCUGUAUUCGUUUAUCUGGGAGUGACCAUCCUCGCUACUCAGCUACUCACGUGAGGCUCCAGCGUUCACACAACGCGAACCCUCAACCACUAUGGACGUGGAAGUAAAAGCCCCUUCAGAGUUUGUUGUAGCCCAGGCAGUUUAGGCAAUAUCCCAGCUCAGAGUACCAUAAUUAAGAUUGCAAAAAGGAUCAAUAUGGGAAACUUUUGCGGUUCCCUGUCCAGUUAAAAUCAUAUACUGUGGCAUGAAGUGUAAUCACAUCCAUUCCGCCGAUAUUUAUUGAACACCUAACAUGUGCCACAAGGGGAUGCCAUAACGGAUAAGACCAAAACCAUCCCUGCCUUCAUGAAGCUCACAGCUGUGCAAGCAAGCGUGCCGGUCCUGCCGCCAUUUUAAGAGUGUGCAACAAGUCCCAUGGGAAGGAAGAAAACCAUAAGAGACACUUUCCACCCUGAGACAAAGUACCCAUACUACUCCUUUACAUCUGGUCUCCAAAGUGAAUGACAUCUUGAGCUUUUCCCAUGAGUUACUGAUUCCCGGAUGAAUACCAUAUUAUCCCUGACUUUUGAAUGUGGAAAUUUGGGGAUAUGUCACACACAAUUCUUGUGACACACAUUCCUCAACGUGAGCAUGUCAUCCCUGCUGAAAAGACAAAUUGUUCCUUUCCUGCUGAGUUGGGGAGACAGAUACAAGCAGACCAUUAUGUGAUAAGAGCUGAUGGGCUAUUGGGGAGACAGACGGCCACUUUUGAACUGAAGGAUUGUUUAAAGCUCUUCCGGUAAUUCCAGUGUGCACCCAAGACUGAGAACCACAGCUAUAGACGAUGCCAGAAUAAAUAAGAUAGUUUCCCAUUGAAUUGUAUGCUUUUAAAGAGUGAAUUUUAUGGUAUGUCAAUAACUAUAUUCCAAUAAAACUGUUA